rnacentral:rRNA from 1 species
AAGUAUGUGCAUAUUUUAUAUGUAGAGACUGCGAACGGCUCAUUAAAACAGUUAUAAUCUACUUGACAUUUUUCUUAUAAGGAUAACUUCGGAAAAGCUGUAGCUAAUACUUGCUUAAUGCAUACUUAGAAGUCUUCGGACUUUUUCGUAUGUAGUACUUGUUAAGCCUUAUAAAAAAAUAUAUUAACUUAAGGAAUUAUAACAAAAAAGUAACACAUAAUAGAUGAAUCAAUCUAUUUUAGUGUGUAUCAAUCGAGUUUCUGACCUAUCAGCUUUUGAUGUUAGGAUAUGGGCCUAACAUGGCUAUGACGGGUAACGGGGAAUUAGAGUUCGAUUCCGGAGAGGGAGCCUGAGAAACGGCUACCACAUCUAAGGAAGGCAGCAGGCGCGUAAAUUACCCAAUUCUAAAGAAGAGAGGUAGUGACAAGAAAUAAUAGGGCAAGACCGAAUUCGGUUUUGAAUCUGUGCUGAUAGGAAUUUAAAAACUUCCUAAAAUUCCAUUGGAGGGCAAGUCUGGUGCCAGCAGCCGCGGUAAUUCCAGCUCCAAUAGCGUAUAUUAAAAUUGUUGCAGUUAAAACGCUCGUAGUUGAAUUUCAAAGAAUCAAUAUUAAAAGUAAUAAGUACAUAGAAAAAAAUAGAAUCCUUUUAAUUUUCGAAUUAUUAGGUUCUAUUUUUAUUUCUUUGUAACUUUAUUCUUUUAAACACAAUGAUUCUUUCUAAAAUUUUUAGUCGUUUUUUUUAAAUGAUUGAAAAUUUUGUUACUUUGAGUAAAUUAGAGUGUUCAAAGCAAACAUUGCAAAACAUUGUCACCAAUGUGUUUGAAUACUAAAGCAUGGAAUAACAAAAUUGAGCAAACCAAAACUUUGUUCUUUUUUUUAUUUUUGGUUUAGUUACGAUUAAUAGGAGUAGUUUGGGGGCAUUUGUAUUCAGAUGUUAGAGGUGAAAUUCUUAGAUUUUCUGGAGACAAACAACUGCGAAAGCAUUUGCCUAAAAUACUUCCAUUAAUCAAGAACGAAAGUUAAGGGAGUGAAGACGAUCAGAUACCGUCGUAAUCUUAACCAUAAACGAUGCCGACUAGGUUUUGGAUGAAAAAUCAUUAAUUUUAGUUUAUUGGUAAGGAGGUGUAGUAUGUAGUUUCGGCUAUAUAUUGCAUUUCUUUUUACUAAUACUAAAAAGUUGCUUCCUUCAGUACCUUACGAGAAAUCAAAGUCUUUGGGUUCUGGGGCGAGUAUUCGCGCAAGCGAGAAAGUUAAAAGAAUUGACGGAAGGGCACCACCAGGCGUGGAGCUUGCGGCUUAAUUUGACUCAACACGGGAAAACUCACUAGUUUAAGACAAGAGUAGGAUUGACAGAUUGAUAGUUCUUUCUUGAUUUCUUGGAUGGUGAUGCAUGGCCGUUUUUAGUUCGUGAAUUCUGAUUUGUCUGGUUAAUUCCGAUAACGAACGAGAUCUUAACUUGCUAAUUAGCGGCGAGUACACCAUAUUCUUAAGUAAAAUGCAAAGUUAGUAUAGAAAUAUCCUAGUUUUCCUUUUUUAAAGAAAAGCUAGUGUUUAUUUCUAUCAACUUUGUAUUUUAUCUUAAAAAUGUACUCGUUAAUAUUUAAA